rnacentral:rRNA from 1 species
UCGGAUUGCAGGCUGCAACCCGCCUGCAUGAAGUUGGAAUCGCUAGUAAUCGCGGAUCAGCAUGCCGCGGUGAAUACGUUCCCGGGCCUUGUACACACCGCCCGUCACACCAUGAGAGUCGGGAACACCCGAAGUCCGUAGCCUAACCGCAAGGGGGCGCGGCCGAAGGUGGGUUCGAUAAUUGGGUGAAGUCGUAACAAGGUAGC